CAAUAGCGUAUAUUUAAGUUGUUGCAGUUAAAAAGCUCGUAGUUGGAUUUCGGAUGGGAUUUGCCGGUCCGUCGUUACGAUGUGCACUGGCCAGUCCUAUCUUGUUGUCGGGGACUAGCUCCUUGGAUUCACUUCCUGGGACUAGGAGCUGACGAGGUUACUUUGAGUAAAUUAGAGUGUUCAAAGCAAGCCUACGCUCUGAAUACAUUAGCAUGGAGUAACACGAUAGGACUCUGGCUUAUCUUGUUGGUCUGUGAGACCAGAGUAAUGAUUAAGAGGGACAGUCGGGGACAUUCGUAUUUCAUUGUCAGAGGUGAAAUUCUUGGAUUUAUGAAAGACGAACUUCUGCGAAAGCAUUUGUCAAGGAUGUUUUCAUUAA
rnacentral:rRNA from 1 species